UGACUUCUUUCCUUUCCCUUUCUGGAGGUGUGAACCUCUGAGAAAGGUCCUUUUUCCUGACUGGUACCUUAGAAUUUUCUAACUGUUUCAAAGGAGGAAGCUGGAGCUUUCUCUCUCUCUCUCUCUCUCUCUCUCUCUCUCUCUCUCUCUCUCUCUCUCUCUCUCUCUCUCUCUCUCUCUCUCUCUCUCUCUCUCCUUUUCUCUCUUCCUUAAUAGCUUCUCUCUAUUGUAAAAAGAAACAACCAAAAAUUCCAUUUGACUUCAGUAAUUCAUUUUAGGAUUUAGAAAUUGAAUCCCUGGCGACCACCAAUUUAAUAUUCAAUCAAUAUAACUAAAUUUAACAUCUAGUAGGUGCUCUUCGCCAGAUUAUAUGACUGAAAACAUACAUAACCUGGUGGAUAACAUUCUUUUCAUGACUUUGUGAUGGUCCUCAGAUGGCUGAAAUAUACUUCAUUGCCAGGCUUAUACGUGCAAGCUUUUUGAAACAGAGAUCAGGAUUGAGUCAUGGGGAGAAUGAAAUACUCUUUGAGUCCACACAACAUGUCCUAGAACACUUCAGUACUUUUUUUGCUUUGAAGAGGAUGGAGUGUAUAUUUGGUGGGGGAGGCAAUGUAUGAGAGUGUGUGUGAUUAUAUGUCAUCCCCCUCAGAAAGA
rnacentral:lncRNA from 1 species